CUCGUACUCGAACUGACCCUCGGUCGCCAUCUUGACUUUUAGUCAGUCAGUCAGUCAGUGCACGCCGGUGGUGGCGACGAAAUAAAGGCGAGAGACGAAGAUCCUGAGGCGAAGGUUGGGUGUCUGGCGGAGGAAAUGUGCCAGUCUGAUGGAGCAGUUGGCACAGGGAGACCAGGAGCAGAACCAGGUGAUUGAGUAACUGAGCUUCCCCUCUCCAGCAACUCCAUACCCCCACAGACCAGGGCACAAGGCUCCCAGCCAUUGCGAUUGCGGAGAUGUCCAAAGUCAAAGGUCAAGGAGUCUGGGCCCACUCGCCUCUUUACUACAAAGCAGAGCCAUCCCUGGGACGUACUGCCACGUUUUUCACUCCAUGAGUCUAUCAUCACUCAAUCAGAGGUCUUUAUAAAACACCUUAGUGAGG